GAUGAACGCUGGCGGCGUGCCUAAUACAUGCAAGUAGAACGCUGAAGGAGGAGCUUGCUCUUCUGGAUGAGUUGCGAACGGGUGAGUAACGCGUAGGUAACCUGCCUGGUAGCGGGGGAUAACUAUUGGAAACGAUAGCUAAUACCGCAUGACAACAGUUAUUGCAUGAUAACUGUUUAAAAGGGGCAACUGCUCCACUACCAGAUGGACCUGCGUUGUAUUAGCUAGUUGGUGAGGUAACGGCUCACCAAGGCGACGAUACAUAGCCGACCUGAGAGGGUGAUCGGCCACACUGGGACUGAGACACGGCCCAGACUCCUACGGGAGGCAGCAGUAGGGAAUCUUCGGCAAUAGACGGAAGUCUGACCGAGCAACGCCGCGUGAGUGAAGAAGGGUUUCGGAUCGUAAAGCUCGGUUGUAAGAGAAGAACGAGUGUGAGAGUGGAAAGUUCACACUGUGACGGUAUCUUACCAGAAAGGGACGGCUAACUACGUG
rnacentral:rRNA from 1 species